GAAUGAUGGUGCAGAUAGGCUGGAAAAAUCAAAAUCAAAAAACAGCCCUACUCUCAAGUGACAAUGCACAUGGGGAGCAAUAGUGGUUUCUACUGCUUUUGGGGAUCUUCACACCCAGAAACUGAAGAACUUGCAGUAAUUGUCCUUCUAACCAUGCUGUUAUGCAUGAUGUGGAAACAGCUUCUUUCAGAACCCCUGACACCAAAACCUGAAAACCUCUACCCACUCAAAAGGGAUAUAUAAAUAAACAGGGAGUCUUACAGAAAUGGACAGGAAUAAAGAAUUUACUUCUAUAGGAAAGGCUUUCUAAAGAUAUUAAGCCAGUGACUCAGUGUUUCAAUAACGUAAUUUUCUCCCUUCUUACGUCAGGAUUUUAAACAUCUCCAAUUCUGCAGACUGCCUUAAUGUGAUCUAUAUGUAAAACUACCCACCGGUGAUGUGAACUACAUGCUGCCUCGUGCCGAUACAAACAGCUUUUGUUCAAAGUGCAUUGGCUGGCGCUUUUCCACGUAGUACUUUUGUUUAGGUCACCACUGUCAGGCAGUAUUGUAAUGCUAAAAUAUAUUGCAAAUACUACAUAAAAAAUGUCUCCUGUUCUAUAAAAUGCACUAGUCCUGUAAAAAUGAAGAUCUGUUGGAAUCUUGAUAACAAAACAACCAGACGUUGGCAGUUGCUAUAGAAUAUUUGUGACCUUCAUUUUCAGUCCAGCAGCAUGGGCAGGAUGGAAUUACACUAGCAAAUUCACACUCACCAAAAAAUUCAUCCCCUCUGGUAUGGUUGCAUGGGAUUCAAAACAUCACAGAACACUUCAGGCCUCUCUGAGCAGUGGUCACCCCUGAUCACAGCAUUCUGCAAAGUGGAAAAACAAAUAGCAACUUAAGAAAAUUACUGUAGUUGUUUUUGUUUUGACAGAGCAACAGACAAGAAUACACAAACAUUUCAAAGGGAGAGAUUAAGUCAAGCAGCUAGACAGUAGUAUGUCUGCCACUGAGAGAUUUCCUACCCCAUUCUUAAAAAAAAAGAAAACAAACAAACAAAACCCCCAGAAUGUGCUUCUAUCCACUCGAAUUAAUUUUUAUAAUAUUUUGCUUUCAAAAGGGGAGGAAAAAGGAGAGGAAAAAGGAAUUGGGAUCCAAAAAAGAAAGAGGUAUACCCCAUCCUAAAGCUCUGAGGGACAUAUUGUUCAGCAAGGCAUGCAUUCAUAGGGGUUUCAGGGAGUUCCUCGCAUUAAUUCCAUUGAUAAUUAACAAAGUUUGUGCUGCUGAGCUCCUGAGCCUGGAUUUACAGAACUGCUACCAAGCACAAGCAAUGCCUGCAGCCAGAACAGAAGAACAACACUUGAGUACAUAGCAAUUAUACUAAAGGGAAUGACAAGAAGUUUUAAGAGAAGUGUAUUUGGGAAGAAGAUGGGCCAUGUGAAAUGGAAGUACAAAAGUCCAAUGCCAAAGAGAUCAAAGACUCACUCAGAAGUGUCUCCUCCAUAGCAAAAUAUUCCUGUUGCCUAACUUCACUGACAACACCAUUUCCAUAGGGGCUGGAAUCUGAUCUGACAUCUAGUUUACAGAAAGUUAUCAAAGUUAUUUACUGUAACAACACACUAAAAAUAAUGUUCUAUGGAUUUUACACGAGUCUUUUAUUUUUGCACAGAAGUCAGUAAUGUUGUGCCAGCAGGAAUUUUGGCUUUACUUUCACAUAAAAUAUUUUAUCCUGAAAAGCAAUAGAAACCCUAAUCAGACUGCAUCAUUCUAUAUUGCUACAAACUGCAAUUAAUCUGCUCAGAUGGAAAAACCAUACCAGUUUUUGACUGAAAGGCAUGUCAUUAAGUUUCUGAGUUGUUUACAUGUAAUGCAACAUGACAGGAAUUUGUGCAGAGAUGAGAGACAAGGAGCUAUUUGAAAUUAACUGUUUGGCAUCCUGUCUAUAGCUGUUUGCAGUCAGCAGGGAAUUGGCAGAGCUGAUUGGCGUUAUUGGUAUGUCUGUGGGUUCUGUGAGAGGGUUGAGAGGGUUUCUCAUAUUCGGUUGUCUUUGAGAAAAACGCGGUAAAAAGACACUGUGCCUUUGGGUGCUCAGGUCUAGGGAGUGAGGGAGAUUGUACUAACACCCUCAGCUUCUAACAAGACUAAGUAGCAAACCUAAAGUAUGGAAAUAUAUGGAUAUUAUUAGCAGGAGAGCACGUAAGUAACAUGAUUUGUACCUCUCACAUGAAACAUGGCCCUUUCCUCCUACAGUCCCUUCCAAUGGGAUGUCAAGGAGAUGACAGAGCCUGUGGAAUGGCUGGGCACAGCAGCAGCUGGGCACAAUGCAGUCGCAUGCGUGGUCACAGGAGGUGCUGUGCAGAAAGGAGACAGAAAGGAGAUUGGAUGAGUGCAGAAAAUCUGCAGAACCGCUUCUACAACAGCUUGUUGGUGUUAGGAUGGUUGUAGAGAGUUAAGCACUUGAAAUACUGAAGGCCCCUAAAUCACCAGGCGCUCAGAAAAUUUGAUUUAAGACCUUUUUUGACAUGGAAGAAAUUAUUUCCUCCAUCACAGAACCUCUCUGUCAUCUGGGAAAGCGUGUUUGAUGAUGGGAAGAGGAGGAAAAUUAAUUAAACUAAUAAAAAGGCAACUGGAAAAACUGAAUUAAUUCUCAACUGCUCAUGGGGCAAGAAUGGACAUGGAGAGAACUGCGGCAGCUUUGGUGUCCCUCAGUUAGAUAGUUAGAUCUGUAAGAGACUGAAAACACCACUGCAAUGAUAGUGAGAUGAUUGUCUUCACCAUGUCUCAGACACUGAAGGAAGACAGGAUCGGGUAAAGCCAGUGGAAAAUUACUAAUAAAAGAGGUGUUUUAUG
ensembl:lncRNA